CAGCAGCCACGGUAAGACGAACCGUGCAAACGUUACUCGGAAUCACUGGGCUUAAAGCGCACGUAGGCGGCGACAUAAGUUAGAGGUGAAAUCCCAUCGGCUCAACCGUGGAACUGCCUCUAAUACUGUGUUGCUUGAGGGAGAACGGGGCAAUCGGAACUUCCGGUGGAGCGGUGAAAUGCGUUGAGAUCGGAAAGAACACCAACGGCGAAAGCACUCUGCUGGGCCGACACUGACACUGAGAGACGAAAGCUAGGGGAGCAAAUGGGAUUAGAUACCCGUGUAGUCCCUGUCUCUUAUA
rnacentral:rRNA from 1 species